rnacentral:rRNA from 1 species
AUUGAACGCUGGCGGCAUGCCUAACACAUGCAAGUCGAACGGGGUAGCAAUACCCAGUGGCGGACGGGUGAGGAAUACAUAGGAAUUUGCCUUUAGGUGGGGGAUAGCCCGGGGAAACUCGGAGUAAUACCGCAUGAUGUCGAAAGACCAAAGUAGGGGAUCGCAAGACCUUGCGCCUUUAGAGAAGCCUAUGUCUGAUUAGCUAGUUGGUAGGGUAAUGGCCUACCAAGGCGACGAUCAGUAACUGGUCUGAGAGGACGAUCAGUCACACCGGAACUGAGACACGGUCCGGACUCCUACGGGAGGCAGCAGUGGGGAAUAUUGGACAAUGGGCGAAAGCCUGAUCCAGCAAUGCCGCGUGUGUGAAGAAGGCC